GACGAACGCUGGCGGCGUGCCUAAUACAUGCAAGUAGAACGCACAGUUUAUACCGUAGCUUGCUACACCAUAAACUGUGAGUUGCGAACGGGUGAGUAACGCGUAGGUAACCUGCCUGGUAGCGGGGGAUAACUAUUGGAAACGAUAGCUAAUACCGCAUAAUAUUGAUUAUUGCAUGAUAAUUGAUUGAAAGAUGCUAUUGCAUCACUACCAGAUGGACCUGCGUUGUAUUAGCUAGUAGGUGAGGUAACGGCUCACCUAGGCGACGAUACAUAGCCGACCUGAGAGGGUGAUCGGCCACACUGGGACUGAGACACGGCCCAGACUCCUACGGGAGGCAGCAGUAGGGAAUCUUCGGCAAUGGACGAAAGUCUGACCGAGCAACGCCGCGUGAGUGAAGAAGGUUUUCGGAUCGUAAAGCUCUGUUGUAAGAGAAGAACGGGUGUGAGAGUGGAAAGUUCACACUGUGACGGUAUCCUACCAGAAAGGGACGGCUAACUACGUG
rnacentral:rRNA from 1 species